rnacentral:rRNA from 1 species
AGUCGAGCGCACCUUCGGGUGAGCGGCGGACGGGUGAGUAACGCGUGGGAACGUGCCCUUCUCUGCGGAAUAGCCACUGGAAACGGUGAGUAAUACCGCAUACGCCCUUCGGGGGAAAGAUUUAUCGGAGAAGGAUCGGCCCGCGUUAGAUUAGGUAGUUGGUGGGGUAAUGGCCUACCAAGCCUACGAUCUAUAGCUGGUUUGAGAGGAUGAUCAGCCACACUGGGACUGAGACACGGCCCAGACUCCUACGGGAGGCAGCAGUGGGGAAUCUUAGACAAUGGGCGCAAGCCUGAUCUAGCCAUGCCGCGUGAGUGAUGAAGGCCUUAGGGUCGUAAAGCUCUUUCGCUGGGGAAGAUAAUGACUGUACCCAGUAAAGAAACCCCGGCUAACUCCGUGCCAGCAGCCGCGGUAAUACGGAGGGGGUUAGCGUUGUUCGGAAUUACUGGGCGUAAAGCGCGCGUAGGCGGAUCAGAAAGUUGGGGGUGAAAUCCCGGGGCUCAACCUCGGAACUGCCUCCAAAACUCCUGGUCUUGAGUUCGAGAGAGGUGAGUGGAAUUCCGAGUGUAGAGGUGAAAUUCGUAGAUAUUCGGAGGAACACCAGUGGCGAAGGCGGCUCACUGGCUCGAUACUGACGCUGAGGUGCGAAAGUGUGGGGAGCAAACAGGAUUAGAUACCCUGGGUAGUCCACACCGUAAACGAUGAAUGCCAGUCGUCGGCAAGCAUGCUUGUCGGUGACACACCUAACGGAUU